rnacentral:ncRNA from 1 species
GCAGGGGACUCAUCAAAAAAAGGUGCGUUCAUACCGAAAGGUAUGAAAUGAACGGGAUGAAUUCAGGGAAACCUUACCAACUCUUUGUAAUUAUCUUUCUAAAUCAAAGAGGCUGAUGGCAAUCCUGAGCCAAGCCGGUUGUACACAUCCGGAAGGUGCAGAGACUACCUGAGAACUGUCCAUUUUUUAAUGCAAUAAUUUUUGUUGUAAUAGAAAAAUGGCAAAGCGUUCUUAAUAACAGGCAAGAGCGUCCCGCACCCUAGCAAUACGAUGUUUUUGUUGCGGGUGAUGAGAUAGUCCACUCCCAUCAGAAAUGAUGAG